rnacentral:siRNA from 1 species
CAGAAAUUUGUGUGGUUGCCACA